UCCCUGAUAGCUCAGUUGGUAAAGAAUCUGCCUGCAAUGCAGGAGACCUAGGUUUGAUCCCUGGGUCGGGAA
rnacentral:tRNA from 1 species